GUGCCUGCUUUGCAGCACAUAUACUAAAAUUGGGAUGAUACAGAGAAGAUUAGCAUGUCCCCUGCACAGGGAUGACACACAAAUUUGCAAAGCAUUCCAUAUUUAU
ensembl:snRNA U6 U6 spliceosomal RNA